AGCGAACGCUGGCGGCAGGCCUAACACAUGCAAGUCGAACGAACUCUUCGGAGUUAGUGGCGGACGGGUGAGUAACACGUGGGAACGUGCCUUUAGGUUCGGAAUAACUCAGGGAAACUUGUACUAAUACCGAAUGUGCCCUUCGGGGGAAAGAUUUAUCGCCUUUAGAGCGGCCCGCGUCCGAUUAGCUAGUUGGUGAGGUAAAGGCUCACCAAGGCGACGAUCAGUAGCUGGUCUGAGAGGAUGAUCAGCCACAUUGGGACUGAGACACGGCCCAAACUCCUACGGGAGGCAGCAGUGGGGAAUCUUGCGCAAUGGGCGAAAGCCUGACGCAGCCAUGCCGCGUGAAUGAUGAAGGUCUUAGGAUUGUAAAAUUCUUUCACCGGGGACGAUAAUGACGGUACCCGGAGAAGAAGCCCCGGCUAACUUCGUGCCAGCAGCCGCCGUAA
rnacentral:rRNA from 1 species